rnacentral:rRNA from 1 species
GGGUUGUGAGGUUAAGCGACUAAGCGUACACGGUGGAUGCCCUGGCAGUCAGAGGCGAUGAAGGACGUGCUAAUCUGCGAUAAGCGUCGGUGAGGUGAUAUGAACCGUUAUAACCGGCGAUUUCCGAAUGGGGAAACCCAGUGUGUUUCGACACACUAUCAUUAACUGAAUCCAUAGGUUAAUGAGGCGAACCGGGGGAACUGAAACAUCUAAGUACCCCGAGGAAAAGAAAUCAACCGAGAUUCCCCCAGUAGCGGCGAGCGAACGGGGAGGAGCCCAGAGCCUGAAUCAGUGUGUGUGUUAGUGGAAGCGUCUGGAAAGGCGUGCGAUACAGGGUGACAGCCCCGUACACAAAAAUGCACAUAUUGUGAGCUCGAUGAGUAGGGCGGGACACGUGGUAUCCUGUCUGAAUAUGGGGGGACCAUCCUCCAAGGCUAAAUACUCCUGACUGACCGAUAGUGAACCAGUACCGUGAGGGAAAGGCGAAAAGAACCCCGGCGAGGGGAGUGAAAAAGAACCUGAAACCGUGUACGUACAAGCAGUGGGAGCCUCUUAAUGGGGUGACUGCGUACCUUUUGUAUAAUGGGUCAGCGACUUAUAUUCUGUAGCAAGGUUAACCGAAUAGGGGAGCCGAAGGGAAACCGAGUCUUAACUGGGCGUUAAGUUGCAGGGUAUAGACCCGAAACCCGGUGAUCUAGCCAUGGGCAGGUUGAAGGUUGGGUAACACUAACUGGAGGACCGAACCGACUAAUGUUGAAAAAUUAGCGGAUGACUUGUGGCUGGGGGUGAAAGGCCAAUCAAACCGGGAGAUAGCUGGUUCUCCCCGAAAGCUAUUUAGGUAGCGCCUCGUGAAUUCAUCUCCGGGGGUAGAGCACUGUUUCGGCAAGGGGGUCAUCCCGACUUACCAACCCGAUGCAAACUGCGAAUACCGGAGAAUGUUAUCACGGGAGACACACGGCGGGUGCUAACGUCCGUCGUGAAGAGGGAAACAACCCAGACCGCCAGCUAAGGUCCCAAAGUCAUGGUUAAGUGGGAAACGAUGUGGGAAGGCCCAGACAGCCAGGAUGUUGGCUUAGAAGCAGCCAUCAUUUAAAGAAAGCGUAAUAGCUCACUGGUCGAGUCGGCCUGCGCGGAAGAUGUAACGGGGCUAAACCAUGCACCGAAGCUGCGGCAGCGACACUAUGUGUUGUUGGGUAGGGGAGCGUUCUGUAAGCCUGUGAAGGUGGCCUGUGAGGGUUGCUGGAGGUAUCAGAAGUGCGAAUGCUGACAUAAGUAACGAUAAAGCGGGUGAAAAGCCCGCUCGCCGGAAGACCAAGGGUUCCUGUCCAACGUUAAUCGGGGCAGGGUGAGUCGACCCCUAAGGCGAGGCCGAAAGGCGUAGUCGAUGGGAAACAGGUUAAUAUUCCUGUACUUGGUGUUACUGCGAAGGGGGACGGAGAAGGCUAUGUUGGCCGGGCGACGGUUGUCCCGGUUUAAGCGUGUAGGCUGGUUUUCCAGGCAAAUCCGGAAAACCAAGGCUGAGGCGUGAUGACGAGGCACUACGGUGCUGAAGCGACAAAUGCCCUGCUUCCAGGAAAAGCCUCUAAGCAUCAGGUAACAUCAAAUCGUACCCCAAACCGACACAGGUGGUCAGGUAGAGAAUACCAAGGCGCUUGAGAGAACUCGGGUGAAGGAACUAGGCAAAAUGGUGCCGUAACUUCGGGAGAAGGCACGCUGAUAUGUAGGUGAAGCGACUUGCUCGUGGAGCUGAAAUCAGUCGAAGAUACCAGCUGGCUGCAACUGUUUAUUAAAAACACAGCACUGUGCAAACACGAAAGUGGACGUAUACGGUGUGACGCCUGCCCGGUGCCGGAAGGUUAAUUGAUGGGGUUAGCGGCAACGCGAAGCUCUUGAUCGAAGCCCCGGUAAACGGCGGCCGUAACUAUAACGGUCCUAAGGUAGCGAAAUUCCUUGUCGGGUAAGUUCCGACCUGCACGAAUGGCGUAAUGAUGGCCAGGCUGUCUCCACCCGAGACUCAGUGAAAUUGAACUCGCUGUGAAGAUGCAGUGUACCCGCGGCAAGACGGAAAGACCCCGUGAACCUUUACUAUAGCUUGACACUGAACAUUGAGCCUUGAUGUGUAGGAUAGGUGGGAGGCUUUGAAGUGUGGACGCCAGUCUGCAUGGAGCCGACCUUGAAAUACCACCCUUUAAUGUUUGAUGUUCUAACGUUGGCCCGUAAUCCGGGUUGCGGACAGUGUCUGGUGGGUAGUUUGACUGGGGCGGUCUCCUCCUAAAGAGUAACGGAGGAGCACGAAGGUUGGCUAAUCCUGGUCGGACAUCAGGAGGUUAGUGCAAUGGCAUAAGCCAGCUUGACUGCGAGCGUGACGGCGCGAGCAGGUGCGAAAGCAGGUCAUAGUGAUCCGGUGGUUCUGAAUGGAAGGGCCAUCGCUCAACGGAUAAAAGGUACUCCGGGGAUAACAGGCUGAUACCGCCCAAGAGUUCAUAUCGACGGCGGUGUUUGGCACCUCGAUGUCGGCUCAUCACAUCCUGGGGCUGAAGUAGGUCCCAAGGGUAUGGCUGUUCGCCAUUUAAAGUGGUACGCGAGCUGGGUUUAGAACGUCGUGAGACAGUUCGGUCCCUAUCUGCCGUGGGCGCUGGAGAACUGAGGGGGGCUGCUCCUAGUACGAGAGGACCGGAGUGGACGCAUCACUGGUGUUCGGGUUGUCAUGCCAAUGGCACUGCCCGGUAGCUAAAUGCGGAAGAGAUAAGUGCUGAAAGCAUCUAAGCACGAAACUUGCCCCGAGAUGAGUUCUCCCUGACUCCUUGAGGGUCCUGAAGGAACGUUGAAGACGACGACGUUGAUAGGCCGGGUGUGUAAGCGCAGCGAUGCGUUGAGCUAACCGGUACUAAUGAACCGUGAGGCUUAACCUUACAACGCCGAAG